CACCGCGAAGUUAGUGAGCAUCGAGCUCUCGUGGUAGACGCAUGACGUUGCGCCAACUUUGCGAAAAAUCUCUCGGACCACGUGCGUCACCUGUCGUGCAUAGGUGAAAAUAUUAGUGCAACAUAGGAUCGUCAACAACAGCUCAUAUAUUUAAUUUGUUUACAAUAUAUCUGCAGUGGUGAAAAGGUUGCCGUAUCGAAAGUGGAGAUUCGUUUGAUUCAGAUUUUCUCUACCAUGCUGGUAACUGCAACAGACUGCAUAACAAAGCGAUUAUGAGUGAAGUUUGUUAGAAAAGUUAACUACCUAAAAAUAACAACAAUAAUGAAUAACAAAACGAAAUGCUGUGUUUUCAAUUAACACGAUCUAAACAGUCCCGCACUAGUCUGCUAUAUUUGUACUGUUUUCACAAUGGAGGAAGAAUCCUGUACCUGCAGGUUGCAACAUGAUCAUCCUCGCGAGAGAAUAGUCUCCGCGACGAGGAUCCAAGUAACGAGUUGAGUUGAGCUGAAGCGAGGAGGCGACGAGAUAAACGAAACUUUCAUACAGGAUUAUAAGUUUCCGCUAAUAAUCUAAAACUGAUCUAAAAAGGCUGACCAAGUGCAUUUCUGUGCAUUCCAAAGAUUCUAAUUUAAAACUAAAAACAGUUAAAAAGAAAAUAA